UGCGGGCCUUGUUCACCGAAACUUGGUCUCCCCGUGUCUCUCUCUCUCCCAAAUUCUGGCUGAGUCUCCAUCUGGAGUGUGGAACCCGCCAUGCUUACUAAUUAUGCCUGGGCUUCUAAGAUCCGACUGGGGAGGCCUCAGUGUCUCCUCUCCUUCGGGAGAACGGAAGGACGCCUGUGGCCUAUUGGAAGCCAUGCAGAGCCGUGCCAGACGCUCUAUGUGGACCUGCCUGGUGGAGAAGCUUCGCAUCUUGAGAAUGUCUAGUCCGAGUGGAGCUGGAAGAUAUAUAUACAUAUUACACAUGCACACAUACACACACACACGCACAUAUACACACACACAUACACACACACGCACAUACACACAUACACACGCAUGCACAUAUACACACAUACACACAUAAACACACAUGCACCUACACACAUAUAUACACAUACACACACACACAUAUACACACACACUUACACACUUACACACAUGCACACACACACACACACACGUGCACAUAUUUAAAACGGAUAACCAACAAGUUCCUACUGUAUAGCACAGGGAACUCUGUGAACACAGCAUUUCUUGUCUUUCAAGGAAACAGCAGGUCGAAAGAAAUUGUAUUUGGAAUCAGGGAAAAUCUCUAUUUCAAGUCUGCAGAGACAACACAAAAGUGCAAGAGUGCCUUCUUCAAGCACAGCUACACUUUUAAACACCAUCUCUAUUUUUCUGGGUCUGCCAGGAGGAUCAGAGCUCUGUGUUAGCAGGGUUACCGAGAGGGAGGCCGUGAC
ensembl:lncRNA